CACGUAGGGCGCAAGCGUUGUCCGGAAUUAUUGGGCGUAAAGAGCUCGUAGGUGGUUUGCUGCGUCCGCUGUGAAAACCCAAGGCUUAACCUUGGGCUUGCAGUGGAUACGGGCAGACUAGAGGUAGGUAGGGGAGAAUGGAAUUCCCGGUGUAGCGGUGAAAUGCGCAGAUAUCGGGAGGAACACCGGUGGCGAAGGCGGUUCUCUGGGCCUUACCUGACGCUGAGGAGCGAAAGCGUGGGGAGCGAACAGG
rnacentral:rRNA from 1 species